rnacentral:rRNA from 1 species
GAUCCGGCUCAGGAUGAACGCUAGCUACAGGCUUAACACAUGCAAGUCGAGGGGAAACGAUAGAGAAAGCUUGCUUUUUCUAGGCGUCGACCGGCGCACGGGUGAGUAACGCGUAUCCAACCUGCCCAUCACUUGGGGAUAACCUUGCGAAAGUAAGACUAAUACCCAAUGACGUCUCUAGAAGACAUCUGAAAGAGAUUAAAGAUUUAUCGGUGAUGGAUGGGGAUGCGUCUGAUUAGCUUGUUGGCGGGGUAACGGCCCACCAAGGCGACGAUCAGUAGGGGUUCUGAGAGGAAGGUCCCCCACAUUGGAACUGAGACACGGUCCAAACUCCUACGGGAGGCAGCAGUGAGGAAUAUUGGUCAAUGGACGAGAGUCUGAACCAGCCAAGUAGCGUGCAGGAUGACGGCCCUAUGGGUUGUAAACUGCUUUUAUAAGGGAAUAAAGUGAGUCUCGUGAGACUUUUUGCAUGUACCUUAUGAAUAAGGACCGGCUAAUUCCGUG